GAAGUGGCUGCUUCCAAGAGCUGGAGAGAUUGCAUAUGAAGCACUUGACACCCUAAUGACACUUCCUUGAAGUGGACACAAAACGGAAAGAUGAGCUUCUGCAGGAUGAGACUUGUUCAGUUGCAUCAUGGAGGCUUGAGACUGCAAACAGUGGAAUGACAUUUUCUUCUACCUGAAGCUGGGUUUCUUUUGAAGCGUGUUUUUGUUUUCUGCUGCCAGAUUCUCUUACCCUGUCUGAGGAAGCUGGGACCUGUGUGCCUGGGUUUAUUCUGUAAGUAGCACAAAACUGAGGAAAUCUAUUUGUAUAUACUUAAAAGACCCAUCACUUGUUUACAAGAUCUUAAACCUAAAAGAACUAUAAAAACUGACUGUACUUACAACGGCUGUUUACUCAGCUUUCUCCCUGGCUAGGGGACAAUGAAAACAGGCCUG
rnacentral:lncRNA from 1 species